UACACACCGCCCGUCACACCAUGGGAGUCGUUUGCUCCAGAAGUGCCUGCGCCAACCUCACGGAGGCAGGGCCCCAAGGAGUGAACGGUAACUGGGGUG
rnacentral:rRNA from 1 species